UACAGAGGGUGCGAGCGUUGUUCGGAAUGACUGGGCGUAAAGGGCGCGUAGGCGGUUCGUACAGUCAGGCGUGAAAUUCCCGGGCUUAACCUGGGGGCUGCGUUUGAUACGUGCGGGCUUGAGUUCGGAAGAGGGUCGUGGAAUUCCCAGUGUAGCGGUGAAAUGCGUAGAGAUCGGGAGGAACACCAGUGGCGAAGGCGGCACCCUGGACCAGCACUGACACUGAGGCACGAAAGCGUGGGGAGCAAACAGG
rnacentral:rRNA from 1 species